rnacentral:piRNA from 1 species
UACCAGAUAAAGAUGGGGGAAGAGU